AUUGAACGCUGGCGGCAGGCCUAACACAUGCAAGUCGGGCGAGCGGAGGACGGGUGAGUAAUGUAUGGGGAUCUGCCUGAUGGCGGGGGAUAACUACUGGAAACGGUAGCUAAUACCGCAUACCAUCAGAUGAACCCAUAUGGGCUUAGCUAGUAGGUGAGGUAACGGUUUACCUAGGCGACGAUCCCUAGCUGGUCUGAUAGGAUGAUCAGCCACACUGGGACUGAGACAGGGCCCAUACGCCUACGGGAGGCAGCAGGGGGGAAUAGGGCACAAUGGGCGCAAGCCUGAUGCAGCCAGGCCGCGUGUAUGGAGAAGGCCUUCGGGUUGUAAAGUACUUUCAGUCGGGAGGCGUUACCGACAGAAGAAGCACCGGCUAACUCCGUGCCAGCAGCCGCGGUAAUAC
rnacentral:rRNA from 1 species